ACAGCCCGGAAGGGCCCCGGCUGGAUGGAACUGUCCAUCUUCACCACCACCAUCAGCCGGGAUUUGUAGGUGAGAGGAUCUUCUGCCAUCUCUUCCUGGAUGCUCACAAAAGCUCGGCUCCAGGAAGACAGCACACGACCCCUGCCCGAUGGAAUCUUACUCUGUUGCCCAGGUUGGAGUGCAGUGAGUGCAAUGGCUCACUGCAAUCUCUGCCUCCCAGGUUCAAGUGAUUCUCCUGCCUCAGCCUCCUGAGUAGCUGGGAUUACAGGCAUGCACCAUGAUGCCCGGCUAAUUUUUGUAUUUUUAGUAGAGACAGGGUUUCGCCAUGUUGGCCAGGCUGGUCUCGAACUCCUGACCUCAGGUGAUCUGCCCACCUUGGUCUCACCAAAGUACUGUGCUGGGAUUCCAGGCAUGAGCCACCACGGUCGGCCAGAAACACCUUUAAAAAGACAAUACUACAUCAUGAUCAGG
rnacentral:lncRNA from 10 species